rnacentral:Y_RNA from 1 species
GGCUGGUCAGAGUGCAAAAGUGAAAUGGUGUUUACAAUGAAUUGAUCGACAACCAGUUACAGGUUCCUUCUCCACCCCCACUGCUUCAUUUAACUAACCUAGA